AAAUUUAAAAUCUGGCAGAUGCUUGUCUGUCCGAGUUGUAACCUAGAGAAAGUGUAACCUGUGCUGGACCGUGUACAAGUCUCCCUGGAAUGGAGCAUCAUAGAGGGUGAGAAUCCCGUCUUUGACAUGGACUACCAGUGCACUGUGGUUGCGCACUCAACGAGUCGAGUUGUUUGGGAAUGCAGCUCUAAAUGGGUGGUAAAUUCCAUCUAAAGCUAAAUAUUGGCGAGAGACCGAUAGCGAACAAGUACCGUGAGGGAAAGAUGAAAAGAACUUUGGAAAGAGAGUUAAACAGUAUGUGAAAUUGUUGAAAGGGAAACGCUUGAAGUCAGCUGCAUUGGCUGGGGAUCAAGCCAGCUUAUUUGCUGGGUGUACUUCCUGGUUGAUGGGCCAACAUCAGUUUUGACCAUCAGAGAAAGGCAAAGGGAAUGUGGCAUCUUUAUAGGUGUGUUAUAGCCCUUGGUUGUAUGUGGUGGUUGGGACUGAGGAUAGCAGCGUGCCACAAGGCUGGG
rnacentral:rRNA from 1 species